AGAGUUUGAUCAUGGCUCAGAUUGAACGCUGGCGGCAGGCCUAACACAUGCAAGUCGAACGGUAACAGGAAGCAGCUUGCUGCUUUGCUGACGAGUGGCGGACGGGUGAGUAAUGUCUGGGAAACUGCCUGAUGGAGGGGGAUAACUACUGGAAACGGUGGCUAAUACCGCAUAACGUCGCAAGACCAAAGAGGGGGACCUUCGGGCCUCUUGCCAUCAGAUGUGCCCAGAUGGGAUUAGCUAGUUGGUGAGGUAACGGCUCACCAAGGCGACGAUCCCUAGCUGGUCUGAGAGGAUGACCAGCCACACUGGAACUGAGACACGGUCCAGACUCCUACGGGAGGCAGCAGUGGGGAAUAUUGCACAAUGGGCGCAAGCCUGAUGCAGCCAUGCCGCGUGUAUGAAGAAGGCCUUCGGGUUGUAAAGUACUUUCAGCGGGGAGGAAGGUGUUGUGGUUAAUAACCACAGCAAUUGACGUUACCCGCAGAAGAAGCACCGGCUAACUCCGUGCCAGCAGCCGCGGUAAUACGGAGGGUGCAAGCGUUAAUCGGAAUUACUGGGCGUAAAGCGCACGCAGGCGGUCUGUCAAGUCGGAUGUGAAAUCCCCGGGCUCAACCUGGGAACUGCAUUCGAAACUGGCAGGCUUGAGUCUUGUAGAGGGGGGUAGAAUUCCAGGUGUAGCGGUGAAAUGCGUAGAGAUCUGGAGGAAUACCGGUGGCGAAGGCGGCCCCCUGGACAAAGACUGACGCUCAGGUGCGAAAGCGUGGGGAGCAAACAGGAUUAGAUACCCUGGUAGUCCACGCCGUAAACGAUGUCUACUUGGAGGUUGUGCCCUUGAGGCGUGGCUUCCGGAGCUAACGCGUUAAGUAGACCGCCUGGGGAGUACGGCCGCAAGGUUAAAACUCAAAUGAAUUGACGGGGGCCCGCACAAGCGGUGGAGCAUGUGGUUUAAUUCGAUGCAACGCGAAGAACCUUACCUGGUCUUGACAUCCACAGAACUUUCCAGAGAUGGAUUGGUGCCUUCGGGAACUGUGAGACAGGUGCUGCAUGGCUGUCGUCAGCUCGUGUUGUGAAAUGUUGGGUUAAGUCCCGCAACGAGCGCAACCCUUAUCCUUUGUUGCCAGCGGUCCGGCCGGGAACUCAAAGGAGACUGCCAGUGAUAAACUGGAGGAAGGUGGGGAUGACGUCAAGUCAUCAUGGCCCUUACGACCAGGGCUACACACGUGCUACAAUGGCGCAUACAAAGAGAAGCGACCUCGCGAGAGCAAGCGGACCUCAUAAAGUGCGUCGUAGUCCGGAUUGGAGUCUGCAACUCGACUCCAUGAAGUCGGAAUCGCUAGUAAUCGUGGAUCAGAAUGCCACGGUGAAUACGUUCCCGGGCCUUGUACACACCGCCCGUCACACCAUGGGAGUGGGUUGCAAAAGAAGUAGGUAGCUUAACCUUCGGGAGGGCGCUUACCACUUUGUGAUUCAUGACUGGGGUGAAGUCGUAACAAGGUAACCGUAGGGGAACCUGCGGUUGGAUCACCU
rnacentral:rRNA from 1 species